rnacentral:rRNA from 1 species
UACCGAGGGUGCGAGCGUUACUCGGAAUUACUGGGCGUAAAGCGCACGUAGGUGGCGACGUAAGUCGGGUGUGAAAGCCCCGGGCUCAACCUGGGAAUUGCAUUCGAGACUGCAUUGCUGGAGUACGGAAGAGGAAGGCGGAAUUCCCGGUGUAGCGGUGAAAUGCGUAGAUAUCGGGAGGAACAUCAGUGGCGAAGGCGGCCUUCUGGUCCAGUACUGACACUCAAGUGCGAAAGCGUGGGGAGCAAACAGG